CAUGAUACAUAUUAUGUUGUAGCACAUUUUCAUUUUGUUCUUUCUUUAGGAGCUAUAAUUUCUAUCUUCUCUGGUAUAAUUUUUAGUGGAGAAAAGAUUGUUGGUACUAAGAAUUUAUUACUUUCACCCUCUAGUACACUUUCUCUUUUUCAUCUACAUUUAGUAUUUGUUGGUAUUCUUCUUACCUUUUCCCCAAUGCA
rnacentral:ribozyme from 1 species